rnacentral:rRNA from 1 species
GGUUAAGCGACUAAGCGUACACGGUGGAUGCCCUGGCAGUCAGAGGCGAUGAAGGACGUGCUAAUCUGCGAUAAGCGCCGGUAAGGUGAUAUGAACCGUUAUAACCGGCGAUUUCCGAAUGGGGAAACCCAGUGUGAUUCGUCACACUAUCAUUAACUGAAUCCAUAGGUUAAUGAGGCGAACCGGGGGAACUGAAACAUCUAAGUACCCCGAGGAAAAGAAAUCAACCGAGAUUCCCCCAGUAGCGGCGAGCGAACGGGGAGGAGCCCAGAGCCUGAAUCAGCAUGUGUGUUAGUGGAAGCGUCUGGAAAGGUGCGCGAUACAGGGUGACAGCCCCGUACACAAAAGCGCAUGUGCUGUGAGCUCGAUGAGUAGGGCGGGACACGUGGUAUCCUGUCUGAAUAUGGGGGGACCAUCCUCCAAGGCUAAAUACUCCUGACUGACCGAUAGUGAACCAGUACCGUGAGGGAAAGGCGAAAAGAACCCCGGCGAGGGGAGUGAAAAAGAACCUGAAACCGUGUACGUACAAGCAGUGGGAGCACCCUUCGGGGUGUGACUGCGUACCUUUUGUAUAAUGGGUCAGCGACUUAUAUUCUGUAGCAAGGUUAACCGUAUAGGGGAGCCGGAGGGAAACCGAGUCUUAACCGGGCGUUAAGUUGCAGGGUAUAGACCCGAAACCCGGUGAUCUAGCCAUGGGCAGGUUGAAGGUUGGGUAACACUAACUGGAGGACCGAACCGACUAAUGUUGAAAAAUUAGCGGAUGACCUGUGGCUGGGGGUGAAAGGCCAAUCAAACCGGGAGAUAGCUGGUUCUCCCCGAAAGCUAUUUAGGUAGCGCCUCGUGAAUUCAUCUCCGGGGGUAGAGCACUGUUUCGGCUAGGGGGCCAUCCCGGCUUACCAACCCGAUGCAAACUGCGAAUACCGGAGAAUGUUAUCACGGGAGACACACGGCGGGUGCUAACGUCCGUCGUGAAGAGGGAAACAACCCAGACCGCCAGCUAAGGUCCCAAAGUCAUGGUUAAGUGGGAAACGAUGUGGGAAGGCCCAGACAGCCAGGAUGUUGGCUUAGAAGCAGCCAUCAUUUAAAGAAAGCGUAAUAGCUCACUGGUCGAGUCGGCCUGCGCGGAAGAUGUAACGGGGCUAAACCAUGCACCGAAGCUGCGGCAGCGACGCUGAUGCGUUGUUGGGUAGGGGAGCGUUCUGUAAGCCUGCGAAGGUGACCUGUGAGGGUUGCUGGAGGUAUCAGAAGUGCGAAUGCUGACAUAAGUAACGAUAAAGCGGGUGAAAAGCCCGCUCGCCGGAAGACCAAGGGUUCCUGUCCAACGUUAAUCGGGGCAGGGUGAGUCGACCCCUAAGGCGAGGCCGAAAGGCGUAGUCGAUGGGAAACGGGUUAAUAUUCCCGUACUUGGUGUUACUGCGAAGGGGGGACGGAGAAGGCUAUGUUGGCCGGGCGACGGUUGUCCCGGUUUAAGCGUGUAGGUGUGUGUUCCAGGUAAAUCCGGUUCACUUUAACACUGAGGCGUGACGACGAGGCACUACGGUGCUGAAGCAACAAAUGCCCUGCUUCCAGGAAAAGCCUCUAAGCAUCAGGUAACAUCAAAUCGUACCCCAAACCGACACAGGUGGUCAGGUAGAGAAUACCAAGGCGCUUGAGAGAACUCGGGUGAAGGAACUAGGCAAAAUGGUGCCGUAACUUCGGGAGAAGGCACGCUGACACGUAGGUGAAGUGAUUUACUCAUGGAGCUGAAGUCAGUCGAAGAUACCAGCUGGCUGCAACUGUUUAUUAAAAACACAGCACUGUGCAAACACGAAAGUGGACGUAUACGGUGUGACGCCUGCCCGGUGCCGGAAGGUUAAUUGAUGGGGUCAGCGUAAGCGAAGCUCCUGAUCGAAGCCCCGGUAAACGGCGGCCGUAACUAUAACGGUCCUAAGGUAGCGAAAUUCCUUGUCGGGUAAGUUCCGACCUGCACGAAUGGCGUAAUGAUGGCCAGGCUGUCUCCACCCGAGACUCAGUGAAAUUGAACUCGCUGUGAAGAUGCAGUGUACCCGCGGCAAGACGGAAAGACCCCGUGAACCUUUACUAUAGCUUGACACUGAACAUUGAGCCUUGAUGUGUAGGAUAGGUGGGAGGCUUUGAAGUGUGGACGCCAGUCUGCAUGGAGCCGACCUUGAAAUACCACCCUUUAAUGUUUGAUGUUCUAACGUGGACCCGUAAUCCGGGUUGCGGACAGUGUCUGGUGGGUAGUUUGACUGGGGCGGUCUCCUCCUAAAGAGUAACGGAGGAGCACGAAGGUUGGCUAAUCCUGGUCGGACAUCAGGAGGUUAGUGCAAUGGCAUAAGCCAGCUUGACUGCGAGCGUGACGGCGCGAGCAGGUGCGAAAGCAGGUCAUAGUGAUCCGGUGGUUCUGAAUGGAAGGGCCAUCGCUCAACGGAUAAAAGGUACUCCGGGGAUAACAGGCUGAUACCGCCCAAGAGUUCAUAUCGACGGCGGUGUUUGGCACCUCGAUGUCGGCUCAUCACAUCCUGGGGCUGAAGUAGGUCCCAAGGGUAUGGCUGUUCGCCAUUUAAAGUGGUACGCGAGCUGGGUUUAGAACGUCGUGAGACAGUUCGGUCCCUAUCUGCCGUGGGCGCUGGAGAACUGAGGGGGGCUGCUCCUAGUACGAGAGGACCGGAGUGGACGCAUCACUGGUGUUCGGGUUGUCAUGCCAAUGGCACUGCCCGGUAGCUAAAUGCGGAAGAGAUAAGUGCUGAAAGCAUCUAAGCACGAAACUUGCCCCGAGAUGAGUUCUCCCUGAGACUUAGAGUCUCCUGAAGGAACGUUGAAGACGACGACGUUGAUAGGCCGGGUGUGUAAGCGCAGCGAUGCGUUGAGCUAACCGGUACUAAUGAACCGUGAGGCUUAACCUU